GCAUAAUGGAGCCAAGCUGGAACCAGCCACCUUGCAGGCAGACAGCAGGGAGCCAAGAAUUGGUAGUCAUGGAAGUUUGCUCCAGGAAGCCUAGUAACAUGGAGAGUAACAUAGUCUUCAAGUUGGCUGUCAAGCAUCUCAAAGCUCCAGUAAUAAUUAAAGCUGACUAUUACAAAACGGACAACUCUCUAGCAGUCAAUGGUCUUGAUGAAUUUUAAAAUACAUGGGCAGAGCUUCUUAGUGAUUGUGGAGCCCAAGGUGAGAAGGAUACAAGUGCAUUGACAUUGAUCCUGGAUCUUUGUGCAGAAGAAAGAAAAAUACCGGAGCAGAUGUCACUAUCUUUUAAGAGUUACCCAGUAAAUAUCUGUCAAAUAGAAUAAAAUUGAAUUG